UCCUCUAUGGCGUAAAUGGUGAACGUACACGGUUGUUACCCGUGGGUUCUUGGUUCGAAUCCAGGUGGAGGAGC
rnacentral:tRNA from 2 species